UUCCGUUUGAUCCUGGCAGAGGUUACUGCUAUCGAGGUUCGACUAAGCCAUGCGAGUCGAACGUAGCAAUACAUGGCGUACUGCUCAGUAACACGUGGACAACCUACCCUUAGGUCGGGGAUAAACCCGGGAAACUGGGUAUAAUACCCGAUAGUCCUCGGAUGCUGGAAUGCACCGAGGUCUAAAGCUCCGGCGCCUAAGGAUGGGUCUGCGGCCUAUCAGGUAGUAGUGGGUGUAGCGUACCUACUAGCCUACGACGGGUACGGGUUGUGAGAGCAAGAGCCCGGAGAUGGAUUCUGAGACACGAAUCCAGGCCCUACGGGGUGCAGCAGGCGCGAAAACUUUACAAUGCUGGAAACAGCGAUAAGGGGACCUCGAGUGCCAGGUUACAAAUCUGGCUGUCGUGAUGCCUAAAAAGCAUUGCAUAGCAAGGGCCGGGCAAGACCGGUGCCAGCCGCCGCGGUAACACCGGCGGCUCGAGUGGUAACCGUUAUUAUUGGGUCUAAAGGGUCUGUAGCCGGCCGGAUAAGUCACUUGGGAAAUCCAGCAGCUCAACUGUUGGGCUUUCAGGAGAUACUGUCUGGCUCGAGGCCGGGAGAGGUGAGAGGUACUCAGGGGUAGGGGGAAAUCUUGUA
rnacentral:rRNA from 1 species